rnacentral:tRNA from 1 species
CCUUUUCAGGGAGACCUUACUUCAGAUUAGAGGUCAACUCAAGUGAGUUGAGAAAAACCCUCAACAGUAUUAACUGAGGUGAUCCCAGGUCGAGCGAAGCAAUGCCAGACAAAGGCUUUCAAACUACGAUAAGGUUCGUAUAUGGGCUAUUAGCUCAGGUGGUUAGAGCGCACCCCUGAUAAGGGUGAGGUCCCUGGUUCAAGUCCAGGAUAGCCCACCUAGUCUAACUGAAUAGUCUUGGGGGUAUAGCUCAGUUGGUAGAGCGCUGCCUUUGCACGGCAGAAGUCAGCGGUUCGAGUCCGCUUACCUCCACUCCAGUUUGGAGGAAAAGACUUACGAGAAAUGGAAAAAAUUCAGCAAGAGAUUAAGAAUCAAACUGCUGGAUAUUUAUCCAGUCAGAACCUUGAAAACUGGAUAGAGUCAAAAGUCAGGUCAGUCUAAAGAAAACAGACAAGGUCAAGCUAAAAAGGGCUGACGGUGAAUACCUAGGCACACAGAGGCGAAGAAUC